rnacentral:tRNA from 1 species
GCGUCGGUGGCACAGCGGUAGAGUGCUCGCCAACCAAGCAGGUGGUUCGGGGUUCAAUCCCCGGCCGAUGCA